GAAAUGCGAUAAGUAAUGUGAAUUGCAGAAUUCAGUGAAUCAUCGAAUCUUUGAACGCACCUUGCGCUCCUUGGUAUUCCUUGGAGCAUGCCUGUUUGAGUAUCAUGAAAUCUUCAAAGUAAAUCUUUUGUUAACUCAAUUGGUUUCUACUUUGGUAUUGGAGGUCUUUGCAGCUUCACACCUGCUCCUCUUUGUUCAUUAGCUGGAUCUCAGUGUUAUGCUUGGUUACACUCGGCGUGAUAAGUUAUCUAUCGCUGAGGACACUGUAAAAGGUGGCCAAGGUAAAUGCAGAUGAACCGCUUCUAAUAGUCCAUUGACUUGGACAAUACUUUUAUGAUCUGAUCUCAAAUCAGGUAGGACUACCCGCUGAACUUAAGC
rnacentral:misc_RNA from 1 species